rnacentral:rRNA from 1 species
CAGUAGCCGCGGUAAUACAGAGGGUGCGAGCGUUAAUCGGAUUUACUGGGCGUAAAGCGUGCGUAGGCGGCUAAUUGAGUCGGAUGUGAAAUCCCCGAGCUUAACUUGGGAAUUGCAUUCGAUACUGGUUAGCUAGAGUGUGGGAGAGGAUGGUAGAAUUCCAGGUGUAGCGGUGAAAUGCGUAGAGAUCUGGAGGAAUACCGAUGGCGAAGGCAGCCAUCUGGCCUAACACUGACGCUGAGGUACGAAAGCAUGGGGAGCAAACAGGAUUAGAUACCCCUGUAGUCCCUGUCUCUUAUAA